GCCUGCAAACCCUCUCUUCUCCUCCCUCUCUCGACCUCGCUCUUGCUCACGGCUCACCCUCGCUGCCUCUCUCUCUCUGCCUCCUCUUCUCUUGCACGUCCGCUCGUGCUUGCCCUCGCUCGGGCUCGCCCCCUCUUGCUCUCGCUCGCCCUCCGGCUCUCGCUGCCUUUCUCUCGCUCUCGCUCGCCCUCGCUGCCUCUCGCCCUCGCUCUCUGCCUGACUGCCUCUCUCUUGCUCUCGCUCGCCCUCGCCCCCACGCUCGCUCGGCCAGUCGGCUUCGCCCUCUUGCUCGCUGCGCUGCCUCUGAUUCUGGUCUUCGUUUUACCCCCCCAAACUUCCAGUUUUGCUUCAUUCGAGCCCAGACAAAAAUGGAGCAAAGAUUGGCGAAUACUUUGCGGCUGACUAUUAAUGAGAAGAAAUUCAUUGUGUCAGCUUUACUAUCAGACCUUAGGAUUGAUGGUCGACGUCCAUUUGAUUAUAGAAGGUUAAAUAUUAAGUUCAGUAGAGAAGAUGGGUCAUCCGAAGUGCAGCUUGGCCAAACUCAUGUAAUGGGGUUUGUGACAUCCCAACUAGUUCAACCUUAUCGAGAUAGGCCAAAUGAAGGGAGUCUUUCAAUCUUCACUGAGUUCUCUCCAAUGGCUGAUCCUUCAUUUGAGGCAGGGCGUCCCGGAGAAUAUGCUGUGGAGUUGGGACGCAUAAUAGACCGUGGUUUAAGGGAAAGCCGGGCAGUAGACAUGGAAUCACUUUGUGUGAUAGCUGGGAAGUUAGUUUGGGCCAUUCGCAUUGAUCUUCACAUCCUAGACAAUGGGGGAAAUCUUAUUGAUGCUGCCAAUAUUGCUGCUCUGGCUGCUCUGUUGACAUUCCGGCGGCCUGAAUGCACAUUAGGUGGAGAAGAUGGUCAGGAAGUUAUAGUACAUCCACCUGAGGAAAGGGAGCCACUUCCUUUGAUAAUACAUCACCUUCCUGUUGCUGUAAGCUUUGGAUUCUUCAGCAACGAGAACAUUGUGGUGGUGGAUCCUUCCCAUGAUGAAGAGGCUGUUAUGAAGGGAAGAAUGACCGUGACACUUAAUAUCAAUGGGGAUGUUUGUUCUAUUCAAAAACCUGGAGGAAUUGGUGUCAUGCAUAGUGCCAUUAUGCAGUGUUUGAGAAUUGCUUCCGUGAAGGCUGCUGAUAUAACAAGCAAGAUUAAGAAUGCUGUUGAAUCUUACAACACUGAAAAGGCACUGCGGAAGAUCAAACAUCACUCUUCUUUUACUGCCUUUGAUAUUAAUGAGCCUGGUGGGAAGCAGUGGAGCCACAACCAAUCUGUUGAUCAGAAAGGAGCCAGCGGCAGUCCAGCAUAUCAUGUAGAGAGAGUAAAGAUUGAAGAGGAAAGUGGUGUCAGUUGGAGCAAUAAGAUGGAAGUUGAACAUCAAUCAUCUGGACAGGACAGAAUAAACAGCAGUGAUGGCUAUACAACAAGAUCCAUUGGCAGGCCCGUAAGUUGGGAUCCGUACUCAAAGGGCGCUGAUUUUGAUGCAUUGAAAACUUCUCUAGAGUCACGUGGAGCACCAACACUGAAGAAGCAGCUAAAAGAAUCAAUUCCUGAGGAGCCCUCUGGAUCUGAACCAGACCAACUUCUUGCCAAUAUCAACCCUGAAUCUUCUCCAGAUGGGACUCUGGGAGCAGGAGGACAAGCAAAUGGAAGGAAGACUUUAAAAGAUGCAGUGAAGCCCAAGCAUAAGAGGAAAAAAAAACAGAUCCUCCAAUAAUCUGUUGUAGACAUUAAAUGGUCUUUUUAGUGAGGCAGCGAACGAUUAACAUGGAUUAGUUGAUGGAUGCAAUUUUUGUUAUGACACCCUAACGAUUUGGCAAGGGGCAUUUGCUUUGCUAGAAGUCCCUGUUUUGGAGAGCAGGAAGAUCAUAAUUUUCAAUGGUUUGCAAGAUACAACCAUGAUGAGGAUAGCUUGUUUGCUGGCCUUUAAAUUGAUUUAAAUAGUGGACACCCAGAAAUUACUUGCCAAAGGUGAUGAUGCUGACUUGAGAAGGAAGAUUCCUACUCAUGGUGGCAUUGUAUGCAGCAUAACCCUUCACAAGAUGGAACCAAAUUUUAAGGUAAAGGAGUGUUCUGAGAACAUCCACCCAUUUAGGUACUUUUCUAGUUUUUUGGUAGGUGUUGGAAUUUUGAAGUCCCUUUUGCUCACUCUGGUUGAAGGUUAUAUCUUGGUGUGAAGUUACCAAUAUGAGUUUAGUGUCCGCCGGGGCGCCUCUAUUAUCAUGCCAUUUCCGAUCUAUUGGGGCCAUGCCCUCUGUAGGAGUUUUGGCAUGUUAGCCUUGGAUCUAUUGGGACAUUUCCAUCAUGAUGUUUUGUUUUUCAAUUGGUGGCUGGAUCUUUUGGACUGAUUUCCAUCCCCAAGGGAUUGUGUGAAAUUUCCAUAUUUCGUAGUCGAAUGUAAGGUUUAUGCAUUUUCUUAUGGGCUUUAGGCUGUUGUGCAGUGUCUAAUGGGGACAAGAAAAGAUCAUGCAAUUUGAUCCUAUUGAGUAUGCCUUAUGGAAUGAGAAGGUUUCUGCCUUUUGAUGGUUUAUUUUUUA